CAACUCUUGAGUCCGUUGGUAAUAAAAUAUAGCUUAUAAGGUAAGAACAGGAGUGCUGUUUUUCAUCCGCUCCAGCAGGCCGCGUCAUCGGGCUUUAGUUUAGUAGUACAGCUUCGGAUGCUUGACAACAACUCUUGAUAACAGUCGGAACAACACGUGCAGACAAGUAUAACUUAUACAUAUGGAAGCUCAGUUACAAACUUACAUAACCACUUAACAGCACACAUUUCAGCCCAUAAACAAACCAAACUGACAAACGCUGUGAUAAAGCGCAGGAAUAGAAGUUGUCACGCGACUCGCCUAAUUAAGAACAGUUACACUCAGCCAACAGAAGCACGUGGACAGACAUACACUCUAAUGAUGGACAUCUGCUUAUGGACAGAAUAAGAGGUGUCUUGUUGGUUGUAAACUCGUCCAGCUGAAGCAGAGCUCUGGGACAUGUGGACAGACAUCGCCUGUAAUGAUGGACAUCUGCUCAUGGCCAGUCUGUCCAAAAGCAUAACCACUGCAGGUCACAGUGCCGGAAGCUCCAGGGGGAGACCGUACUGGUAUCCCCCUUCUUUGGGCACGCCUUCACACACACACUCCACCAUUCACUCAUAUCACAGAGACCUGGCUGGGAUUGAACCAGCAACCUCUGAACCCAUGAGGCAGUACUCUUACCUGUGAGCCACAGGUCUCUUGUUGGAAUAAAGGAAGGAAUUUAUAUUUGACUGUUUAACUGUGAUUUCCCAAUAAAGAAGUUAAAGUAAGCUGGGUACAUGAUUUUUAGAGGUGGGACUUGAACCCAUGUCUCCAUCACAAGCUCAUCCUCAGAGAAAAUGUGUCUAUCCACUUACCCAUCACGGAUUCCCCUUAGUUUUUUUGGCAUGAGUAAGCAGUAUAGGGAUUUGAACUCAGAGCUCCCAGAUUAAAAAACAAUGCUUUAUCUCCAGAGCCACUGAGUCUGUGGAGUGAAGGUUUGUCUCAAGCUCAUCCUAAGAGAAUGUGUGUUUAUUGACUUACCCACCAUGUAUUCCUCGUUGUGUUCUGGCAUUUGAGUGAGUUUUUUGUUUGAGAUCAAUGUCAAGUAAGCAGUAGUGGGGUUUAAGUCCACAUAUCCCAGAUUAAACAGUGCUUUAUCAACUGA